UUUGGAGCUUGAUGUAAAUGUCUCAUAGGAGUAGAGCUGGUGUGGGUUCCUGCUGUGACAGAGGAGGAAGGACUUGCAGAACAGGAACCUUUAAAAUGGGCCCUCUGUGUGUACUUAUGGCAAUUGUAGUGAAGCGGACACAAUUUUACCUAAGUAAAAUAUGAAAGUAAAAUCUAGAAGGAAGGUAAGAGAGAGAAGUUCACAGAAGGAGGUAAGUGGAUGUUCUUGGUACAGGAAUGAGUGCAAAUGGCACUGAUGUUUUAGAAUAGAGAAAUAUAGCAAUACUUCUUUAGGAAACUGUAUUCUGGUUCUUUUUCCUAACUGCAAGAAAGAUUUAUAGAGGGUGAGGGCACAGUGAUGAGAGUUUUUUAUUUAACGACUCCAAAAUAGAAAAAAAAAAUCAGAGUCAAGCCAUUAUCCAAAACUAUUCAUACAAG
rnacentral:lncRNA from 1 species